GGGUCUAUAGCUCAGUUGGUUAGAGCACCUGACUCAUAAUCAGGUGGUCCAAGGUUCAAGUCCUUGUGGACCCA
rnacentral:tRNA from 1 species